rnacentral:piRNA from 1 species
UGACCGUUGGUAGUUACUGGCUAUGGU